GACGUAGGUGGCGAACGUUAUCCGGAAUUAUUGGGCGUAAAGGGUGCGUAGAUGGUUUGAUAAGUUAGUGGUGGGAAAUCGAGGCUCAACCUCGUGGAAGUCACUAAUACUAUCAAACUAGAGUGCAGGAGAGGUUAACGGAACUCCAUGUGUAGCGGUAAAAUGCGACGAUAUAUGGAUGAACACCAAUAACGGCGAAGGCAGUUAACUAUUCUGCUACUGACAUUGAGGCACGAAAGCGUGGGGAGCAAAACGG
rnacentral:rRNA from 1 species